rfam:Schistosoma haematobium scaffold2576_2, whole genome shotgun sequence.
AUAUACAUGACGAGUCUAAAAUAAGAUGAAACGCGCGUCCUGAAU